rnacentral:rRNA from 1 species
CGCCUCUUGAAAUCAAAUAUAAGAGGUCUAGCCUGCCCAGUGAUAAAAUUCAACGGCCGCGGUACCCUAACCGUGCGAAGGUAGCAUAAUCACUUGUUCUUUAAAUGAGGACUUGUAUCAACGGCAUCACGAGGGUUACACUGUCUCCUUUUUCCAAUCAGUGAAACUGAUCUCUCCGUGAAGAAGCGGAGAUUUUUUUAUAAGACGAGAAGACCCCAUGGAGCUUUAAACCCACCUGCACUCCUAUUUUCUACUACCUCUAAAACUAUGGAAUCUGCAUUCUUGGUUUUAGGUUGGGGUGACCGCGGAGCACAAUAUAGCCUCCACGAUGAACGGGAUUAUCCCCUUAUCUAAGAGCAACACCUCUAAGAAUUAGAAUUCUGACAUAAAAUGAUCCGAUAGUCGAUCAACGAACCAAGUUACCCUGGGGAUAACAGCGCAAUCCACUUCAAGAGCCCCUAUCGACAAGUGGGUUUACGACCUCGAUGUUGGAUCAGGGUAUCCUAGUGGUGCAGCAGCUACUAAAGGUUCGUUUGUUCAACGAUUAAAACCCU